GAUGAAGAACGCAGCGAAAUGCGAUAAUUAAUGUGAAUUGCAGAAUUCCGUGAAUCAUCGAGUCUUUGAACACACAUUGCGCCUCAUGGCAUUCCGUGAGGCAUGCCCAUCUCAGCGUUAGAAAAUAUUCUCAAAUUUUAGUUUUGUGCUAAAAUUUGGAUCAUGUCAAGGAAGCUAUUACUAUUAUUGUGAUCGCUCUUUGGAAAUUGAUAGGUCUUUGAGUUGCUACUCAUAGAACGUGAUGAAUCUUUCUUCGUUCUAUUGUAAUUCACUCUGGUAGUCCUAAAACUUGUAUGCCUGUGGCAUAUCUUGUAAUUUGACCUGAGAUUGGGUAGGGAUACCCGCUGAACUUAAGCAUAUCAAUAAGCGGAGGA
rnacentral:misc_RNA from 1 species